rnacentral:rRNA from 1 species
GUAGGGGGCAAGCGUUGUCCGGAUUUAUUGGGCGUAAAGAGCGUGUAGGCGGCCGCACAGGUCCGUUGUGAAAACUGGAGGCUUAACCUUCAGACGUCGAUGGAAACCGUGCGGCUAGAGUCCGGAAGAGGAGAAUGGAAUUCCUGGUGUAGCGGUGAAAUGCGCAGAUAUCAGGAAGAACACCCGUGGCUAAGGCGGUUCUCUAGUACGGUACUGACGCUGAGACGCGAAAGCGUGGGGAGCGAACAGGAUUAGAUACCCUGGUAGCCCACGCCGUAAACGAUGGGUGCUAGGUGUGGGGGGUGUCGACUCCCCCCGUGCCGAAGCUAACGCAUUAAGCACCCCGCCUGGGGAGUACGGCCGCAAGGCUA